rnacentral:rRNA from 1 species
AGUGAACGCUGGCGGCGUGCUUAACACAUGCAAGUCGAACGAGAACGGGGUAUAGCUUGCUAUAUUUGUCAGCUAAGUGGCGCACGGGUGAGUAAUGUAUAGAUAACCUGCCCUCUAGAAAGGAAUAACAGUUGGAAACGACUGCUAAUGCCCUAUAUGCCUUUAAUAAAUAAGUAUGCAAGGGAAACGCUUUAGUGCUAGAGGAUGGGUCUGUAUGGUAUCAGCUUGUUGGUGAGGUAAUGGCUCACCAAGGCUAUGACGCCUAACUGGUUUGAGAGGAUGAUCAGUCACACUGGAACUGAGACACGGUCCAGACUCCUACGGGAGGCAGCAGUGGGGAAUAUUGCACAAUGGACGAAAGUCUGAUGCAGCAACGCCGCGUGGAGGAUGACACAUUUCGGUGCGUAAACUCCUUUUAUAUAGGAAGAUAAUGACGGUACUAUAUGAAUAAGCACCGGCUAACUCCGUGCCAGCCGCCGCCGUAA